UACGGAGGGGGCUAGCGUUGUUCGGAAUUACUGGGCGUAAAGCGCACGUAGGCGGCUUUGUAAGUUAGAGGUGAAAGCCCGGAGCUCAACUCCGGAAUUGCCUUUAAGACUGCAUCGCUAGAAUUGUGGAGAGGUGAGUGGAAUUCCGAGUGUAGAGGUGAAAUUCGUAGAUAUUCGGAAGAACGCCAGUGGCGAAGGCGACUCACUGGACACAUAUUGACGCUGAGGUGCGAAAGCGUGGGGGGCAAACAGGG
rnacentral:rRNA from 1 species